rnacentral:rRNA from 4 species
UGGCGGCCAUAGCGCCGUGGAACCACCUGAUCCCAUGCCGAACUCAGAAGUGAAACGCGGUAGCGCCGAUGGUAGUGUGGCAUUCGCCAUGCGAGAGUAGGACACUGCCAGGCU